UACGUAGGUGGCGAGCGUUGUCCGGAUUUACUGGGUGUAAAGGGCGUGCAGGCGGGAAUGCAAGUCAGAUGUGAAACCUAUGGGCUCAACCCAUAGCCUGCAUUUGAAACUGUGUUUCUUGAGUGAUGGAGAGGCAGGCGGAAUUCCUCGUGUAGCGGUGAAAUGCAUAGAUAUGAGGAGGAACACCAGUGGCGAAGGCGGCCUGCUGGACAUUAACUGACGCUGAGGCGCGAAAGCGUGGGGAGCAAACAGGAUUAGAUACCCCGGUAGUCCACGCUGUAAACGAUGGAUACUAGGUGUGGGGGGUCUGACCCCCUCCGUGCCGGAGUUAACACAAUAAGUAUCCCACCUGGGGAGUACGAUCGCAAGGUUGAA
rnacentral:rRNA from 1 species